UACGAAGGGGGCUAGCGUUGCUCGGAAUCACUGGACGUAAAGGGUGCGUAGGCGGGUCUUUUAAGUCAGGGGUGAAAUCCUGGAGCUCAACUCCAGAACUGCCUUUGAUAUGAAGAUCUUGAGUCCGGGAGAGGUGAGUGGAACUGCGAGUGUAGAGGUGAAAUUCGUAGAUAUUCGCAAGAACACCAGUGGCGAAGGCGGCUCACUGGCCCGGUACUGACGCUGAGGCACGAAAGCGUGGGUAGCAAACAGG
rnacentral:rRNA from 1 species